AAUAGAUACCCGGUAGUCCACGCCGUAAACGAUGAGUGCUAAGUGUUAGGGGGGUUUCCACCCCUUAGUGCUGCAGCUAACGCAUUAAGCACUCCGCCUGGGGAGUACGGUCGCAAGACUGAAACUCAAAGGAAUUGACGGGGGCCCGCACAAGCGGUGGAGCAUGUGGUUUAAUUCGAAGCAACGCGAAGAACCUUACCAGGUCUUGACAUCCCGCUGACCGCUAUGGAGACAUAGCCUUCCCUUCGGGGACAGCGGUGACAGGUGGUGCAUGGUUGUCGUCAGCUCGUGUCGUGAGAUGUUGGGUUAAGUCCCGCAACGAGCGCAACCCUUGUCCUUAGUUGCCAUCAUUCAGUUGGGCACUCUAAGGAGACUGCCGUACAAAUACGGAGGAAGGUGGGGAUGACGUCAAAUCAUCAUGCCCCUUAUGACCUGGGCUACACACGUGCUACAAUGGACGGUACAAACGGUCGCGAAGUCGCGAGCGGAGCCAAUCCGAAAAACCGUUCUCAGUUCGGAUUGCAGGCUGC
rnacentral:rRNA from 1 species